GUGGGGAAUCUUCCGCAAUGGACGAAAGUCUGAUGGAGCAACGCCGCGUGAGUGAAGAAGGGUUUCGGCUCGUAAAGCUCUGUUGUCGGGGACGAAUGUGCAGUAUUUGAAUAAAGUAGUGCAAUGACGGUACCUGACGAGGAAGCCACGGCUAACUACGUGCCAGCAGCCGCGGUAAUACGUAGGUGGCAAGCGUUGUCCGGAAUUAUUGGGCGUAAAGGGAGCGCAGGCGGGAAGGUAAGUCGGUCUUAAAAGUGCGGGGCUCAACCCCGUGAUGGGAUCGAAACUAUCUUUCUUGAGUGCAGGAGAGGAAAGUGGAAUUCCUAGUGUAGCGGUGAAAUGCGUAGAUAUUAGGAGGAACACCAGUGGCGAAGGCGACUUUCUGGACUGUAACUGACGCUGAGGCUCGAAAGCCAGGGGAGCGAACGGGAUUAGAAACCCGAGUAGUCC
rnacentral:rRNA from 1 species